rnacentral:sRNA from 1 species
AGUUCAGUUUGGUGGCAGAGUCCAAUUGAUGGAGCAGUGAGGAUUGUGCUCAUGGACGAUGCCAUGGACUGCUUGAUGUCUUUUUCAGAUUUCCUCUUUGCCUUCCAGAUCCAGUUUUACUACUCAGAAUUCCUGGACAGUGUGGCUGCCAUCUAUGAGGACCUGCUGUCAGGCAAGAACCCCAACACAGUGAUUGUGCCGACGUCGUCCAGUGGGCAGCACCGCCAACGACCUGCCUUGGGCGAGGCCGGCAUGCUGGAGGGCGUGGAGGCGUCGCUGUUCUACCAGUGUCUGGAAAACCUGUGUGAUCGGCACAAGUACAGCUGCCCACCCCCAGCACUUGUCAAAGAGGCCCUCAGCAAUGUUCAGAGACUGACCUUCUAUGGAUUCCUCAUGGCUCUCUCAAAGCACCAUGGAAUCAACCAAGCCCUCGGAGCUUUGCCUGAUAAGGGGGAUCUGAUGCACGACCCAGCAAUGGAUGAAGAGCUGGAACGGCUGCUGGCCCAGGUCCCAGGCCUGGUCAACUCGGUCACAGCCAGUCC